UACGUAGGGGGCAAGCGUUGUCCGGAAUCAUUGGGCGUAAAGCGCGUGUAGGCGGCUCGAUAAGUCUGCUGUGAAAGUUCAGGGCUCAACCCUGAAAUGCCGGUGGAAACUGUCGAGCUAGAGUCCGGAAGAGGCGAGUGGAAUUCCUGGUGUAGCGGUGAAAUGCGCAGAUAUCAGGAGGAACACCAAUGGCGAAGGCAGCUCGCUGGGACGGUACUGACGCUGGGACGCGAAAGCGUGGGGAGCAAACAGG
rnacentral:rRNA from 1 species